UAUCGUACAAAAUGUGAGGGGCCACGCAAAGGGCUGUCGCUGACUCAAAAGGAGUUGUGCACGCCCUUGUGUGUCCUUAUCGCAUAAUAAUCCACCUCACCCUUUGUGCACCACCGCGUGGGUGCCCUUUUGUGAUCAGACCUGAUCUCGGAGGGUGCUCGCGUUUUCACACAAACCCCCCCUUUUAAAAGUGUAGAGUGACCUCAUUUAUGCGCUAACCCGCAAUCAAUACAACUUUCAACAACGGAUCUCUUGGCUCUCGCAUCGAUGAAGAACGCAGCGAAAUGCGAUACGUAAUGUGAAUUGCAGAAUUCAGUGAAUCAUCGAAUCUUUGAACGCACCUUGCGCCCCUUGGUAUUCCGAGGGGCACACCCGUUUGAGUGUCGUGAAAAUCUCAACCUCCUUGGUUUCUUCUGGAGACCAAAGGAGGCUUGGACUUUGGAGGCAUUUGCUGGCAUCUUCUCUCUUUUGAAGGUUCAGCUCCUCUCAAAUGAAUUAGCGGGGUCCUCUUUGCCGAUCCUUGACAUGUGAUAAGAUGUUUUCCAUGCCUUGGUUUCUGGCUCUGUCGCCUUCGGGACCUGCUCCUAACCGUCUUGACCUUGCAUCGAGACAAUGUUCGAGCUCGUCUCCCUUCUCGGGAGACAUCCUCGACCCCACGAACCCUUGACCUCAAAUCGGGUGAGACUACCCGCUGAACUU
rnacentral:rRNA from 1 species